rnacentral:rRNA from 1 species
AACGAACGCUGGCGGCAUGCCUAACACAUGCAAGUCGAACGAGACCUUCGGGUCUAGUGGCGCACGGGUGCGUAACGCGGGGGAACCUGCCCUUAGGUUCGGAAUAACUCCCCGAAAGGGGUGCUAAUACCGGAUAAUGUCUUCGGACCAAAGAUUUAUCGCCUUUGGAUGGGCCCGCGUUGGAUUAGCUAGUUGGUAGGGUAAAAGCCUACCAAGGCGACGAUCCAUAGCUGGUCUGAGAGGAUGAUCAGCCACACUGGGACUGAGACACGGCCCAGACUCCUACGGGAGGCAGCAGUGGGGAAUAUUGGACGAUGGGCGAAAGCCUGAUCCAGCAAUGCCGCGUGAGUGAUGAAGGCCUUAGGGUUGUAAAGCUCUUUUACCCGGGAUGAUAAUGACAGUAACGGGAGAAUAAGCUCCGGCUAACUCAGUG